rfam:Rhizopus microsporus genome assembly, contig: SCAF68
GCUCUUGUAGCUCAGCUGGUUAGAGCGUCGUGCUUAUAUUGUAAAAUAUACCUGAGGCACGCGAAGGUCGCGAGUUCGAUCCUCGCCUGGAGCA